rnacentral:lncRNA from 1 species
CCCCACAUCUAUAUCUAUAUCAAAGUCUUCUUAAAUCACAUUUGUGAGCAUUUAUCACACUAUUAGGUACAUCCAAGUUUAGCCUGGUGUGAAUUAUUUUCUUUGAACAUAAAGUAUUUUUGAAUUGUGGAAACCUUGCAGCUAUUUGUAUUUUCUGGAAAGCUGUAGAUCUUUCUUUGAAAAUGAAGGAUCUGUGGUAUGUCAGCACAUGUUUUUCUCCAAAGGAGGUAGCUCAUUCCUUACAUAGUAUGUUCAUUUUAAGGUUUAACUCAAUUGACAUACAACAGAUUUGUUCAUAAGAAAGCAAUGAUCAAAAGUUUUUGUCAGAUAUUGUAUGUUACUCUCCUUUUCUUCGUACAAAGCUGCUGAUGUCAUGGCUUUCAACCUUUGUAUGGUGCUCCUCUACAUUUUGUUGCUCUAUUAACCUGACGUUCUCUACCAUAAGUUACUCAUGUCAUUUUUCGUUUCUGUAGAUUGCCAAGAUAAAUGGAUGAUGCAUGACUCGGAUGUUGAUUGCAAGGCCAAGAAUAGGGUUACUAUUAGAUAAUUAGAAUGUCAUUUUCGCGAUCAAUGUUUCAAACAUUGUAGUAGAUUGCAAGGUCGAGAAUCAGGAUACAACUUGUAAUCUUUGGAUCAUGUUCUAUGUAACGCUACAUAGUCGGAUUAAUAUAUGAGAAAGGUUUAUUAUAUUGUGGCUCCUAUACAGUAUGGAUG